rnacentral:rRNA from 1 species
CCUACGGGUGGCAGCAGUGAGGAAUAUUGGUCAAUGGACGCAAGUCUGAACCAGCCAAGUAGCGUGCAGGAUUGAGGCCCUCCGGGUUGUAAACUUCUUUUAGUUGGGAAUAAAAGGGUGCUCGUGAGCCCCUUCGUGUAUGUACCAUCAGAAAAAGCACCGGCUAAUUCCGUGCCAGCAGCCGCGGUAAUACGGAAGGUCCGGGCGUUACCCGGAUUUUUUGGGGUUAACGGGAGCGUAGGCCGGCUUUUAAGUCACUUGGUAAAUUCCGGGGCUCAACCGUGGAAUUGCCGUUGAAACUGGAGGCCUUGAGUGCGCACAGAGAAGGCGGAAUGCGUGGUGUAGCGGUGAAAUGCUUAGAUAUCAUGAAGAACUCCGAUCGCGAAGGCAAGUGUCCGGGGUGCAACUGACGCUGAGGCUCGAAAGUGCGGGUAUCGAACAGGAUUAGAUACCCGAGUAGUC